UGACCUCACGCGUGCAAGUACAUCUGUACAGAUCUAACACACAAAAUUUAUGAAUGGAUCUCGUUCUGUUCUGUUCUGUUCGUACAACUUUUUUUGUUCAAAAUUUCAUGUCUAGAUUUUGAAGAAGACUGCAUCUUUCAAUCUUUUCCGUUCUACCUGGAAAUAAAAGAAUGCAUAUUUGCAACGUUGUUUCAUGGAUUCGAUUUAGAAUUAUCAGAUCUGGUUGCAGUCAAAAGAUUGAUGCUUUGAGGUUAUGUCGAGUUGUUAUGAUAAAUAGUCCAUACUUUCAUUUUAAAGAAUAACGGAGACCAUGCCUAGACGAAGGAGAAAACUAGAUAUUUCUCAUUGUCUUGGUGGAUUUCUUCAACUUAAAUGCCUGAAAACAAGAGAGUUAAACUGUGCAUAUUUUAGGUUUGUUGAUCAGUGUCAAUCUCUGCAUCCCAAGGAAUGAUAAAAUAUGCAAACAGAUGACAUGUCAAUAUUGUUUCUUCACUUAGCAGGAACUGCCGAGCCACUCUGCUUGUUUUAAAAGUAGGCUUUAGAAGUUUCAAAGGAGCCAAGAACAAAUUUUGGGUUUCUUUUGGGACCGUCAAAGUAGUCUAAUGUUCGACAAGUUUCCUUGCUAUGCUUUUGGAAUCUCAGAUGUUGAGGAUGGAGCUCAGUCUUUUUGGAAUUAAGUGGACACAUGCUCCUCGUGUUUCAAACAAGUAUGCUCACUUGCUUGCUGCAAUGGCAACGAGUUGUGAAGAGCGUAUCUAGGUGGAGGAUAUUUCGGAUGGCCCAACUGACCAAUGGAAGCUGGAUGCAGAUGGUUUAGAAGAGAGUAUUUAGUUUUGUUGUGUUUGUUUUAGUUGCUUUAUUUCUUUGUUUUUCCAUUAAAAAAAAUGAGGAUGCAUUGACAGUAUUGUGUGUUUGUGAGCUUAUUAAAUUCCACAAUAUAUCAUUACUAUCAUGAAUUCAUGUAAAACGGCCCUUAUAUUUAACAUUUAUAUAUUCAGAACAUAUCUUACAGUAGCGUAA